AAAGCUGAUAUAACUGCAGCUAGACAGACUACCGCAUUGGCACAUAAGGCCUAUGAACAAGUAAUCACCAUUGGCUGGGCAGAAGCAACCCUAUUGAAACCAAUAUAUGAGUGCACAGGACUCAUACAUUGGUUACAAGCUACAGGACUCAUACAUUGAUUGGAAGCUAUGCAGAUGGAGAAAAUGAAGCGCUCCCACGAUAUUAUCAACGAUAACACCCCCAUGCACUCCCUAUAUCAUAGAAAUGGUGUGCAAUCAACAACAUAUGACUUAUACUGCCACUCCAGGCUCCACCAUAUAUAUAUUUUGGGAUUGCCAUGUGCGACUGUAAGGCCGGUCUACGACACUUGCCGGAGCGUACCACUACUAUAACGUACCAUAUUGGCACCCUGAACAUGGAGAGAAGAGUUAAGAACAGCAUAAGGAGGAAUAACUUUUAUCUAUAUAUAAGAACUUUUAUAUCAAUAUAUGAGAACUGUUAUAUACACUUAGGAAUGUUUUAUUUGUAUUAUAUACUUUGAUGUUACGUCAACGCUUAGUUAUCUGUGUUUUGUUAAUGUAGAC
rnacentral:lncRNA from 1 species